UACGUAGGGCGCAAGCGUUAUCCGGAAUUAUUGGGCGUAAAGAGCGUGUAGGCGGCUUGGUAAGUCCGCUGUGAAAGUCCAGGGCUCAACCCUGGAAAGCCGGUGGAAACUGUCAAGCUUGAGUCCGGAAGAGGCGAGUGGAAUUCCUGGUGUAGCGGUGAAAUGCGCAGAUAUCAGGAGGAACACCGGUGGCGAAGGCGGGUCUCUGGGCCGAUACUGACGCUGAGGAGCGAAAGCGUGGGGAGCGAACAGG
rnacentral:rRNA from 1 species